rnacentral:rRNA from 1 species
CCUACGGGAGGCAGCAGUGGGGAAUUUUGGACAAUGGGGGCAACCCUGAUCCAGCCAUGCCGCGUGAGUGAAGAAGGCCUUCGGGUUGUAAAGCUCUUUCGGCCGGGAAAAAAUCGCCUCUCCUAAUACGGGGGGUGGAUGAUGGUACCGGACUAAGAAGCACCGGCUAACUACGUGCCAGCAGCCGCGGUAAU